UACAGAGGGUGCAAGCGUUAAUCGGAGUUACUGGGCGUAAAGGGCGCGUAGGUGGUUGUUUAAGUGAGAUGUGAAAGCCCUGGGCUUAACCUAGGAACUGCAUCUUAUACUGGGCAACUGGAGUACUGUAGAGGGUAGUGGAAUUUCCGGUGUAGCGGUGAAAUGCGUAGAGAUCGGAAGGAACACCAGUGGCGAGGGCGGCUACCUGGACAGAUACUGACACUGAGGCGCGAAAAGCGUUGGGGAGCAAACAGGG
rnacentral:rRNA from 1 species